UUCUUUUGCAGCAGUAUAUUGAUUGUGCUAAUAUCACAGUACAGCCAGUGUCUAUUAAUACAACACUCAACUCUACUGUUGUCUUUUCUUGUGAAGCUGUGGCUGAUGAUCUCAGUUUCAGGGUCAAUAAUGAUUCAGCUACUGAUACAUAUGUUAUAGCUAAAGGAUUUAGUGUAAUUACAAGUGAUGCUGGCACUAAAAGGGCAGAGCUACAAGCAAUAGCUUAUAAACAUAAUAAUAAUACUGAAGUGAAGUGUAGAGCUGUUACUGAUGAACCUCUUCAGGCAGUGUUCAGUAAUACAUCGAUAUUAAUAAUACAAGGUCUAUUGGAUAGUGUUGUUGAUCUGGAUUAUACCUUUA